rnacentral:rRNA from 1 species
GAUGAACGCUGGCGGCGUGCCUAAUACAUGCAAGUCGAGCGAACGGACGAUAAGCUUGCUUCUCUGAUGUUAGCGGCGGACGGGUGAGUAACACGUGGAUCACCUACCUAUAAGACUGGGAUAACUUCGGGAAACCGGAUCUAAUACCGGAUAAUAUUUUGAACCGCAUGGUUCAAAAGUGAAAGACGGUCUUGCUGUCACUAAUAGAUGGAUCCGCGCUGCAUUAGCUAGUUGGUAAGGUAACGGCUUACCAAGGCUACGAUGCAUAGCCGACCUGAGAGGGUGAUCGGCCACACUGGAACUGAGACACGGUCCAGACUCCUACGGGAGGCAGCAGUAGGGAAUCUUCCGCAAUGGGCGAAAGCCUGACGGAGCAACGCCGCGUGAGUGAUGAAGGUCUUCGGAUCGUAAAACCCUGUUAUUGGGGAAGAACAGAUGUGUAAGUAACUGUGGACAUCUUGACGGUACCUAAUCAGAAAGCCCCGGCUAACUACGUG